UAUAAGUACUCCAAGUUUUCACUUUAACAGCAUAGUCUGUUUUUAACUGCUAAAACAAAGCUUAACCAUGAAAUCUUUCUUAGCCAUUGCUGCUCUUGCCGUUAUGAAUGUUUUGUCCUAUGCCUCGGCAGAACCAAUAGUGGAUGCUUUGGGUGGUGUAGUUAGUGGUGUAGUUGGUGGUGCUUUGGGUGGCGGUAAAUAGAUCUAGACAAUGAUAAUAACUUGGAUAUUAAGGAUUUUAAAUGUGUAUAUAAAUGAAAAUUGCGUAAAAAUAAAAAAUCUUAGAUAAAUACAAA